rnacentral:misc_RNA from 1 species
GAUGAAGAACGUAGCGAAAUGCGAUAAGUAAUGUGAAUUGCAGAAUUCAGUGAAUCAUCGAAUCUUUGAACGCACAUUGCGCCCCCUGGUAUUCCGGGGGGCAUGCCUGUCCGAGCGUCAUUACAACCCUCAAGCUCAGCUUGGUGUUGGGCCCCGCCGCCCCGGCGGGCCCUAAAGUCAGUGGCGGUGCCGUCCGGCUCCGAGCGUAGUAAUUCUUCUCGCUCUGGAGGUCCGGUCGUGUGCUCGCCAGCAACCCCCAAUUUUUUCAGGUUGACCUCGGAUCAGGUAGGGAUACCCGCUGAACUUAAGCAUAUCAAUAAGCGGAGGA